rnacentral:rRNA from 1 species
CACGUAGGGCGCAAGCGUUGUCCGGAAUUAUUGGGCGUAAAGAGCUCGUAGGCGGUCUGUUGCGUCCGCUGUGAAAACCUGGGGCUCAACCCCGGGCCUGCAGCCGAUACGGGCAAGCUAGAAUUCGGUAGGGGAGACUGGAAUUCCUGGUGUAGCGGUGAAAUGCGCAGAUAUCGGGAAGAACACCCGUGGCGAAGGCGGCUCUCUGGGACGGUACUGACGCUGAGACGCGAAAGCGUGGGGAGCGAACAGG